rnacentral:rRNA from 1 species
UACGUAGGGGGCGAGCGUUGUCCGGAGUUACUGGGCGUAAAGCGCACGCAGGCGGUCUGUGAAGUUUGGAGUGACAGUUGGUGGCUCAACCACCAAAGUGCUUUGAAAACUGAUAGACUUGAGGGCUUCAGAGGGACACGGAAUUCCGGGUGGAGUGGUGAAAUGCGUAGAGAUCCGGAGGAACACCAAAGGCGAAGGCAGUGUCCUGGGGAGUACCUGACGCUCAGGUGCGAAAGCCAGGGGAGCAAACGGG